CCUGGAGAUUUAAUGGGUCUUAGUCUGCAAGAAGAACCUACAUCAAGCUCUGUGUUGUGUGUCUGUGGGGUUUUUUUUUUAAGAUGAGUGAAAGGAUGCAUAGAAAGAUCUGAUUGUAAAAGGAUGACUGAUCACUAUAGAGUUAAAAAAACAGAACAAGAAGAGGGUGUGUAUAUGAGAAAAAAAAAAGAUCCAAUGGUAAUCCACAAUCUGCCAGAGAGAUCAGCUGCCUAUCUGUUAUCAAACGGUCCAUCUGAGAAGUGAAAAAGGCCGGGGGUGGGGGAGAGACUGCACAACCAGCCACAGACAACAAAUGAAAAAAAAUUAAUCUUUAUCUCCUCUGAGAUCGGAUCGCUGUUUAUCUGAAGUCUCAUCAGCUUUUUCUUUUUUUCACAAAACAGUGACGUUUCCACGGGAGAAUUAAAACAGGAAACCAGGCGAGAGAGAGUCAGGAGCAUGAUCACAUUCACGAGUGUCAACAUUUCGCGCAAUGACCUGGUCCUGGCUCUGUUUACUUGAUGAACCGGUACAACACACCCGAGACAGAUGUGUCAAAUGCUCAAAGGAGUUGAUCCGCCAGGUGUGCUGAAUACACACGAGUGGGAAACGUGAGAUGUUUCCAAGAAAUGGUAACGCGCACCGGG